rnacentral:lncRNA from 1 species
UAUUAUUAUUCUCCAUAAAGGAUUUUGAGAAAAGCAUCUCUCAUCCUAGUGAUGAAGAUCUGUAGAGAUAGAUCUAAGAGGCUGCUUAAGUUUUUCUAGUCCAACAUAUAUAGGGUGUUUAUGAGUAGGAUUUAUUCUAUCAUAUACAUCAUGUAAUAGAUCGGAUAUAGUAUACUUACUAGGGUAGUGAGUGGGUAUUUACA